GAUGAACGCUGGCGGCGUGCCUAAUACAUGCAAGUCGAGCGAACUUUUGGGAGCUUGCUCCCAAAAGUUAGCGGCGGACGGGUGAGUAACACGUGGGUAACCUGCCUGUAAGACUGGGAUAACUUCGGGAAACCGGAGCUAAUACCGGAUAACAUUGAAGAUCACAUGGCAUUCAAUUAAAGGGUGGCUUUUAGCUACCACUUACAGAUGGACCCGCGGCGCAUUAGCUAGUUGGUGAGGUAACGGCUCACCAAGGCGACGAUGCGUAGCCGACCUGAGAGGGUGGUCGGCCCCACUGGGACUGGGACACGGCCCAGACUCCUACGGGGGGCAGCAGUAGGGAAUCUUCCGCAAUGGGCGAAAGUCUGACGGAGCAACGCCGCGUGAGCGGAGAAGGCCUUCGGGUCGUAAAGCUCUGUUGUUAGGGAAGAACAAGUAUCGUUCGAAUAGGGCGGUACCUUGACGGUACCUAACCAGAAAGCCACGGCUAACUACGUG
rnacentral:rRNA from 1 species